CUCCAGAUGUUGCUGAACUACAACUCCCAUGAUUUUCAGCCUAUCUAUUUCAUUCAAAGAAUCAUGGGAGUUGUAGUUCAGCAACAUCUGGAG
rnacentral:miRNA from 1 species